GUAAAUAUAAAAUAAAUUGCAAGUAAUAAGUCAUUGGCAAAAAAAAAAUCCCAUAAAGCAAGAAAUGCAUAUUAAAAUGAUGUAUAACAUAACCACAUUUUUAAAAACAUAUUUCAAUGUCAAAUGGGAAAUUUCAGCAGUGCAAAAAAUCACAAUUCAUUUGCACCAACCUAAUAUACAUAUAUAUAUAUAUACACACACACACAUUCUAAUUUAUAUCAGGAUAUAAAUAUCCACACAUUUCAGUUGGUUGAUACAGCUCUCAAGUCUUCCAGGUUUGCCCCCAUCUCCACCAUCGCUCCUGGCAAUUUAAGGAACCAGAUCGUUUAUGCUCCCAAGGUUCUCAUAGUCUGGAUUUUGAUGACUACACUCCGAUGUUCACUGACUUCAUCUGUUCUCUGUAUUUUCUGUAAACUGCUGAAUCUGAAAGCUUGAUCAGUUUCAAAUUUCAUGGUUUUUGCAAGGCUACAUCACAGGUGGCAUUGUGUCCUGCUAUCACUGGGCACAUAACUCCUGGUGGCCUCCUUUAUGACAUUUGCAGCCUCCAGCGCUCAGUGCCUAGAUCCACUAGGAUUUGAGAAAUUGUGAUAAUCCUCUUCUAUCAUUUGUCCUUCACAUAUUAACUGGAAUCAUUUUAUACAGGGAAACUUGAUCUCAUCAACUACUUGGUACUUGAUUUACAGUCAUGGAGGAAAGACAGAAAAAUUGCUUCUUUUUCUUUAUCAUUUUCAAGUGAUAAAUUGAUUCACUAGCACCUAUCACCAUGUAGUCAAUUUAGUUUUUUGUUUUGUGCCAUUGUAAACUACAGGAUUUAAACAUAUUGCAUAUCUCCUUCCACUGAUGUUUCUUACUGUUUCUCAAAUCAUGCCAUCUUUGGCCAGUGGGAGCCACUACAAAUGGGUCCUAUGUCUUUUAGACAUCACCCCGGUAAUUGGAUUACUUCCUUGUUCUCUUGUUUGAAAUAUGCUCAAGACUCAUCUUAAACAUGUCCAAAAAUUUCUUUCCUUUUAGGAAGGAAGGAUAUUUGCAAACUGCAAUCUGGGAACUAAGGAUGUGCACACUGCCACUGGAGGUGAGUGCUUCAAUGCUUUCAGAGGAUAGCGCUAGGAAGUAACUGUGAAAACAAAACACAUUACAAACAUACACUGAUGGUUUCAUUUCAAAUGCUAAGCUUAAGGGUUUUUACUUGAGCUUCUUAACAUAUAUAAUUAUCUAUUUCCUUACAUACUGAAAAUCUAGCUAUUCAAUGACACUGGAAAAUAUGGUACUGGAAUAUCAUAUAAUUACUUGUUUCAUCAUAUAAGAUGCAGACAACAGUCUUAGAGUAAUAACAACAUACCACAGAUAUAUACGAUUCAUUUUCUGGAUAUCAAGCCAUAGUAAUUCAUCAUGUAGGCGAUCCUAUUUGUUUUAUCUCUCUUUCUCUUAUAUUUUCUGUUAUUUAGCAAAAAUUGAAUUUUGUUCUGCCGGUUACCUUUAAACUAAUACUCUUAAAAUAAACUUUGUUAUAUAAUCAGUACCCCAAAAUGAGAAAUAUUCUGAAGAUGAGUAACAUGGAAGAACUGUUUCUGGCAAAGGGGAACUUACCUCAAGACACUGUUACUUAUUCGAGGAGCCUUCAUUUAAACCCAAGUUUGCCUGACUUCAGACUUCCUUUUUUUUUUUUUUAAUGAUAAUGCAAGGUCACCUGGAGAGAAAAUGCUUCAUAUGUUUUAGUCUUGGAAGUAUUUUCAAAGGACAAAUAUUUUUAGGAUAUUUUAAGAUUCAUAUUCUUUACCAUCCAAACCACAAGACUUUUAAGAGUAAAAGUGCAUUCUAAAAGUGUGUGUGUGUGUGUAUAUAUAUAUAUAUAUCCAUGUUUGGAUAAACUCACAUAUGUGUGUGUGUAUAUAUAUAUAUAUAUAUAUAUUACAUAUAUGUAUGCACACAUCUAAAUAUAUAUAUGAAAAAAGAAACAUAUUGGUAGACCUAUGAAAGGGUUCUAUACCAAAACUAUUUUCUAAAAAUUUUUUCUAACAAUUUUAAAUAGCAUACAUUCAUACAUUUCAAGAGAAAUAUUACAAACAUUUUAUCUAAACAUUAAAAUAACACUAGCAGAAUAUCUCAGUGCAUAUUCACAACUUUAAUGCAACACAUAGCCAUAUCUAAUUUUAAUACAGUACCACUGAUAUUUUCUGACAAGUCUGUUUUUAGCAGUCACUUUUUUUUUUUUUUUUAUAAAAGUGACUGAACCCUUUCCUAAGUAUAUAUUCUGUGGAUAAUAAAUUUGCAAUUGUUAGUACCUAAUGAUUAACCUAAAGACCAUAGUAAUUGAGAAAACUUUCUUGCUAUAGGGAAAUGUACUCUUGUAAGCUAAGAGUAGAUUCUACUAAAUGAAGAAUAUUCUUCAUUAUGUUUUAUAUGAAAAUAUGCAAAAACAUAGGCAUAUAUGUUUUUACCAGUACAGUGAUUUUGCCUUUAUGCAGAGUGCUUUUAUAAAAUACAUAUUUUAUAAGAAAAAAUAUGUCAAGUAAAUUGUUUAUAUUUUAAUUCUGUUUGAGUAUUUUGCUAAAUAUAGAAGCUGUAAAAU
ensembl:lncRNA